ACUUUUCACCGGAGCCCUUCUGAAUGUCCGUUUGCGCUCAAAUUUGACAGUCAGACUCGAUUUAAGCUAAUAAAAAGAAAUAUAUCUUAACUUUUCAGUUUGGAUAAUUUUUGGUCCCCGAAAGCUCUAACGAACUGAAAUUCUAGCAGAUAGCAGUCGGAUUUUAUUUUUCACUUUUCGGGUGUUGGAAUGACAUGAGACUUUAAAUCUAGCCUCAUAAAAAUAAUUCUGACAUAUUUCCAAGUUUUCAUAAUUUUCUGACACUGUGAAUUUUUUGCUAAAAUAUCGUCCCGUUUCUCACAGAAAAUUUUAAAUCUUCUGUUUCCGUUCUGAUUUCAACACAAGUCGUUUCCGACUUAUGUUUUACUUCUUUAAGUCCAAUAAAAAUAGUAUCUCACACUAUUUUUAUUUAUAUUUACGGUACAUUACAACUCACGUCCUAAAUCCUAAGGUUAAGCAAUUCCCGAAGGAUUUAAAGACGACGGGAAAGCGCAUUGAGCACGAGCGGUGGCUGUGGCAGAGGGCGAGGGAAGGGGCGCAAUAGUGAAAAGAGAUGUAGAUGAUGGAAGAAAGAAAAGAAAAAGAAAAAAUAAAAAGAAAAAUAAAAAAAAACUAUUUUUUUUCUCAUGAGAAGACUAUUAUGUGUCGUCGCUGCUAUAAAAAGGCUAAGAACCAUAGAAGAAAAAGAUAAAAUUGCACUGUUUGAGAAAAAAGUUGAACUGUUUAAGACGAAAAUAGUACUGUUUGAGAUAAAAGUUAUACCAUUUGGGUGAAAUUGCGUUGCUUCGGCGAAAGUUGUACUUUUUUAGCAAAAUUUGCAAUCUUUAAGCGAAAAUUAUACUGUUUGAGAUAAAAUUUGCACUCUUUGAGCAAAAGUUAUACUUUUUAAAUUCUUCGGUAUCCUCGUUGCCGUCACUAUGCGUGGUCAUGCGCUCCGUUGCAAGUUCACCUCUGUGAUCUAUACCAUAUUCGAGUCGGUAUCGACAGAAAUGUAGGCGAGGUAAGAGAGCGAAGCAUGGCGUCGCUAGAGGGGUGGUGGAGGAGGAGGAGAAAGGAGAUAGGCGAGAUAAGAAAGUGGGAAAGAAACAGCGAGGAGGGAGAUGAAUCAGAGCGGAAGGAGAAAAAUGAACGAGCGAAAAAAAAAGAGAGCGCAGCGUCGAUGUAGGAGCGGUGGGAGAUGAGAAGGAGGGAGAGAAAGCAAGAGAAAUAAACAGCAACCACGGAGAUGAAUCGGAGCUGACGAAGAAAAACGAAGGAGCGAAGAAAAAGGAGAAAAAAUAGAAAUAAAUAUAUUUUUGUCAGUUUAUUAAAAAUUUCGGUUGAAUUUGUAAAUUUCAAAAUAGUGAUUCACUUUUGCAAUAUUUUAAUAGUAAUUUUUUUAUGCAAAUUAGCCUAAAAAAUAAAAAGUUUGAAUAUUAAUUAAUUAUUAUUUUUAGAUAUUAGAUAG
rnacentral:lncRNA from 1 species